GUCUGCGCUGGGAGAGCGUCUGGUUAAUCGUUGACUGGAAACUCGCUUUUCUAGGCUGUCCCAGGUCCUCGAGAGGCAGCCGGGGCUGGAGAACAGGCUUCGUGCCCCGCUGGUGCCUCCAGUGCUCUUUCCUGUAGUCCUUUGAAACACCCCAGUGGACAGAGAUGGAUUUGGGGUGCGGGGCGGCGGGGUUGUGUGCUAGCAGCAGAUGGGCCUGGGGUCAGGCAGAGAAUGGGGGCCACGCAGCUGAGCAGACUGGAACAUACUGCUUGUGUUGCGUGUUAUGCUGUGGGCAGGACCGGCCCAGGGGCUGCAGGCUCUGCGCUCCCUCCCCUGGGAUACUCACCUUCGGUGACAAGUCCCCAGAUAACUGUGAGAUGGGGCCAAAACACCUAAGGGCCCCAAAGAAAGCAAAAAAAUAAGAUGCCAAGGCCACGUGUCUUAGAGCAGGAGGGGUUUUGAAGACUAUAGAAGGCCGUGUGGCCAGCGGACUUGGUCAGGAGCAACUGUCAGGACUGAGCACUCCCCAAACCCAUACGCAGGGGUUCCGGGACCCUUGCCCCUCGAGGUGCUGUUCCAUUUACAACCUAUAUAUAGGUUUACCUCGUCAGGCACACAGACAAGCAUUUCAGUGUUUUCCUGUUGAUUUAUUUUUAUGUGUAUUAGAACAUAACUUGUUUUUUUUCAGUUGCCUUCUAUUUAUGGCAUAUGGGAUGGUUUUUCUAUUUAUGGUGGAGAUACGAAGUUUCCUUUGAAGAUAAAUUUGUUCAAGUAAAGGAGUGGGUUGAUUUAAAGGGAAAUAUUAAGUAAAGAAUAGUACGGGAGCCGCACGGGGAUGGCAGGUGGCACGUGGAUGCCCGCACUUUGGAAAUUGUGUGCUGGAGGAAUUCAGAGAUGAGAAAAAGAAAGGAUCAUGGAAGAGACGGGUGGGGUGCGGGAGGAGUGAAACCCAGCUAGGUGGAGAUGGAGGGUGAGUCUGUACUUACAGGUCCAGAAAUGUGGGCACGAUUCUUGGUGUGGUCUAUUUUGGCUGCAGCGGGCGAGUCCCGCAGGGAACGGAGGGUAGGGUGGGACUGUAUUGUGGAGGACCAUCAGUCUCAGGGUGUGGCCUCUGAACUUUUCAGGAGGCAGUGGGAGCCAUUGAGGGUGCUUGAGGAGGGGAGUGUUUCUUGACGGUCCUUGAAGAGUCUCGUUUUACCAGGACUGAAGGCAGAUAACUAGUCAGGGGCCCAAGUAGAGAGGGUUUCAGAAGCCGACUAGGGCCAUAGCCAAAGUCAAGCCGCCCAGCCACCCAGGCCAUCCCGUACUGGCUUGGAGGGCAGCCUAGAGGCGCUGGAGUGAGGCGGGUCGGAGGUGGACGAGCUGAGCCCUGGCCCUCUGUGGGGAGGCUGUGGGUGAUGGGCAGGUCAGAAGUUGUGCAUGGAGUCCUGGACGGGAGGGGCAGCUUCUCCUGGCUGGGCUGGGAGGAGAUGGUAAGAGCUACUCAGUGACCUCUUCCUGGAGCCUCCUGGCCUAGCACGGAGUGUUGUGGAAUGUUCUGGAAUGUUCUGGAAUGUUCUGGGGGAAGUGGGUGCGGUCGGCUGAAGGAAGCUCCCUCUGGGCCAGAGUUCAUGUGGGAGGAGGAAGUCCGCUGUUUCCUGCCCUCUGGUUUGGCCCAGAUGCCCUUGGCUGACGGCCCCAGGCCAGGAUUUCAUUCAUCAUCAGGGUCUGCCGUUGUUUUAAGCUCCCAUUUCAUCCUUUGAGUGUGGAGAAGUUCACCAGCAUUCAGGGGCCAGCUUGGUUUAAAAAACAGCCUGACUUCAGUGAAAGCUCAAAGUGCACUUGGCUAUUUCUACGGCUUCAGCACUCCUAGCUCUGCCCAAGAGGGUGCCAGCGAGCUGUGACCUCAGGGCAGUCACUAACCUGCCCAGACCAGUUUCCCUCCCGCCCAGCUACCCUCGUUCCCUGAGUGAGUUUCCUCUUCCUUUCUGGCACUUCUGGGAGGACAGUUCUCUCCCUGGAAUGCCGCCUUCUGCCUGCCAAGUCCCUCCUUUUCCCUCUGAGCCCUGCACCACGUUCUUCUCUUUGAAGCCCCCCGGGACUGCCACAGAGCAAGAUCUUCCCUGCGCCUUCUCUUUGCUCCCGGUGUUCUUUGCAUGGCCCCAGCAUUUAUUGGAGCCACUGUCCGAGUCAUUCGGGAUUCAUCUCGUGCACCGUGCACUACGCUCUGGUUCUUUGGAGGCAGCACAAUGGAGGUGACCCUUCUCCCCAUGCACCUUCCAGAGACUGACACGUAAACCAAGAAAUAAACACAGAUUCCAGCUGUGAUGCCUGUGAUGAAGAAUAAGAAUUGGGGCCCAGUAUUUGUUGACCUUUCAACGUUGUGCAGUCCCAAGGGAGGGCUGCGUGGUGGGGAUGGGAACACAGGCAUGGACGUACUGUGCCUUCCUCCUUUGGCAAACAGGGAUGACGAGCUCCUGUGGUUAAUCCACACAAAAGCGUUCGGGACGGUGUGACACCCAAAGGUAAUAUUAGUGGCAUGGCAAGAUUCUUCCCCAUUGAUGAUGAUGGAUGUGGUGUUUUUUUUCUCUAUGAAGAAGAAAAUUUAAAUUUUUUUCAUUGCA